rnacentral:tRNA from 1 species
GGCAAUAUGGCCGCGCGGUCUAAGGCGACAGAAUCAGGAUCUGGUCCGAAAGGGCGUGGGUUCGAAUCCCACUGUUGUCA